ACAAAAGCCAACGAGUGAAACGAGCGAAAAUCAAUAGAGUUACAUGAGGGUAGUAAACUUAUUGUUAGUUUGCUAUUUCUGUUCGAUGCGUCUAGUGAAAUGUUUGAAACGAGGCAACGAUUUAUGUACCGGUUUGAGCGCAAUUCAUCGUUUGCCAUGUUACGUAAUGAGACACAUUCCGUAUUCGUCUAUCCUAAAUAUAUAAAACUAUAUUUAAAAACAAAAUGAUAUUGAAUUAUUUAUCAUACUGCCUGGCACUCCGUCCUAGUGGAGCUUGAUCUGUUAUGAAAGUGACACCAAAGUGAAGCAGCAAAUGAACAAAAAUGGUACCACAUACUACUGUCUAUCCUCAAAUAUGGCGACGAUGACAAUGAUGAUGAUGAUGAUGCGAUGGAAACAUUCAACAACCAGCAGUUUGGCCUUAAAUGCCCAUAACCGAAGUGCCGUUCUCGGAUAUCACACACCAGUCAGUGGCGAGACAAGGUGUUUUUGGAGGUAGCAAGAUGGU